CUAAGAUGACAAGUUUUAAAAGUUAUUUUUUCAUCAAUGGUGUCACAUAAUAGAAAAAAAAAAUCAAAUUGAAAUGAUUGGAUUAUGACACAUAGUUUAGCCAUCAUGACUCAAUUCAUUGGUCCAACUCAUGUUGAACCGCCGCCCAACUUCAGCACCCAUAAGCAAGACGACAAGCUUGAUAUGAGAAAAUCAGUGCAAUUUUAAUUUGUACGAUACAAAAAUCAAACCAAAAGAAUUACAAUGAAAGUGAUUCUGGAAAUAUAGAAGAAAUAAGGAAUAGUAAUGCACAAUAUACUGCUUCUUUGUUGUCUGUCUACUUGUGGGGGACAAGAUGCGGGUAGAGAUUAGAUAUAUGCUCAUGCAUGAAGUCAUGCCUUGUUAAGAUUCCGACGAUUGGAGCUCUCCCAGUUUUCUUUGGGACAACACACAAGUGUCUAAGACCAAGUUGUCGGAAAAGGAUUGCAGCUUUCGCAAGAGACAUGGUCUCCACUACUGUGUAUGGGGAUGUAUUUGUUAUAGGAUGGAGAUCAAUAUACAUUUCCAUCUCCUCUUCCGUGAUGACGAGAUCCUCAAACUUAAGCCCCUUGCCUGAUCCUGGCUUAGCAAAAUCAAAUGCAUGAAACCUACUCAAAAUAUUGGAGGCACUCAAUACACGUUGUUUUGUGAAUUUCUUUCCAUUGAGCAAAACAAGUAAAUGUGACCGUAGAACAAGCCCACAUAACUCUGGUGUCUCAGAGAAAGGUGGCUCAUCAAUCACAGGAAAGCCAUUAUGCCUACUAUACUUCAAAGCAUGUACUAUGUUCCCCACCUUCUCCACACCUGAAAAUGACAAUAAUGGCCCAGAACAGACAUCUCCAGCAACCAGAUUCCUCAUAAAUGGUUCAGCAUGUGCUUCCAAGAAAGGCAAACCUUUCAUUUUCACAAUCUGGUCAUAGACACCCUUAUUAAAAAUAUCAGCCACGGUUUUUGAUAUGAGGAGAACAAGCAUCACCAAUGGAAGCAUUAGUAGAUUGUUUGUAAGCUCAAGGAGUAUGACACAUAUUGAUACUGUCAUUCUCAUGGUACCACCAAGGAAAGAGGCAGCACCAAGUAGCGAAAAAAGACCAACAUUAAGAUUGGAUAACGAACCCAAGGCUCUACCAAAAAUACGCCCAUAGGAUGCUCCAGCAAGUAUGACAGGAAUG
rnacentral:misc_RNA from 1 species